GGGGAUCCCACUUUGUCUAUAUGGCAAAUGUGAGAUGCAGUGUAUGGAGCGUCAAUCUACCUAGUAUGAGAAAUUAAUGAUUUAAGUCCUUCUUAAAUGAUGGCCAUUUACCCAUAGAGGGUGCCAGGCCCGUAUAACGUUAAUGAUUACUAGAUGAUGUUUCCAAAGAGUCGUGUUGCUUGAUAGUGCAGCACUAAGUGGGUGGUAAACUCCAUCUAAAACUAAAUAUAACCAUGAGACCGAUAGUAAACAAGUACCGUGAGGGAAAGUUGAAAAGAACUCUGAAUAGAGAGUUAAACAGUACGUGAAACUGCUUAGAGGUUAAGCCCGAUGAACCUGAAUAUCCGUUAUGGAAAAUUCAUCAUUAAAAUUGUAAUAUUUAAAUAAUAUUAUUAAGAAUAAUGUGCAUUUUUUCCAUAUAAGGACAUUGUAAUCUAUUAGCAUAUCCCAAAUUUAUCAUAAAAUAUAACUUAUAGUUUAUUCCAAUUAAAUUGCUUGCAUUUUAACACAGAAUAAAUGUUAUUAAUUUGAUAAAGUGCUGAUAGAUUUAUAUUAUUACAGAGCGUUAAUUUUUCGGAAUUAUAUAAUGGCAUAAUUAUCAUUGAUUUUUGUGUUUAUUAUAUGCUCUUGUAUGAUUAACAAUGCGAAAGAUUCAGGAUACCUUCGGGACCCGUCUUGAAACACGGACCAAGGAGUCUAACAUAUGUGCAAGUUAUUGGGAUGUAAACCUAAUAGCGUAAUUAACUUGACUAAUAAUGGGAUUAGUUUUUUAGCUAUUUAUAGCUAAUUAACACAAUCCCGGGGCGUUCUAUAUAGUUAUGUAUAAUGUAUAUUUAUAUUAUUUAUGCCUCUAACUGGAACGUACCUUGAGCAUAUAUGCUGUGACCGAAAGAUGGUGAACUAUACUUGAUCAGGUGAAGUCAGGGGAACCCUGAUGGAAGACCGAAACAGUUCUGACGUGCAAUCGAUUGUCAAAUUGAGUAGGGGCGAAGACCAUCGACCUCAGUAGCUGGUCUUCAAUUUCCUCAGGAGCUGUCUUUAAUUAUAAAAUCUA
rnacentral:ncRNA from 1 species